rnacentral:rRNA from 1 species
AACGAACGCUGGCGGCGUGCCUAACACAUGCAAGUCGAGCGGGAAAGUUCCCUUCGGGGAGCGAGUACAGCGGCGAACGGGUGAGUAACACGUAGGUAACCUACCCUGGAGAUCGGGAUAACCUGCCGAAAGGCGGGCUAAUACCGGAUAAGACCACGAGGGCUGCGGCCCUUGAGGAAAAAGAUGGCCUCUGCUUGCAUGCUAUCACUCUGGGAUGGGCCUGCGCGCCAUAGCUAGUUGGUGAGGUAACGGCUCACCAAGGCUGAGAUGGCUAGCUGGUCUGAGAGGAUGGCCAGCCACACUGGGACUGAGACACGGCCCAGACUCCUACGGGAGGCAGCAGUGGGGAAUAUUGCGCAAUGGGCGAAAAGCCUGACGCAGCGACGCCGCGUGGGUGAUGAAGGCCUUCGGUCGUAA